GACGAACGCUGGCGGCGUGCUUAACACAUGCAAGUCGAACGAGAAUCUACAGAAUGCGAUUUCGGUCAAAUGAAGUAGAGGACAGUGGCGGACGGGUGAGUAACGCGUGAGGAACCUGCCUUUCAGAGGGGGACAACAGUUGGAAACGACUGUUAAUACCGCAUAACGCAUGGGUAUCGCAUGGUACCGAUGCCAAAGAUUUAUCGCUGAAAGAUGGCCUCGCGUCUGAUUAGCUAGUUGGUGAGGUAACGGCCCACCAAGGCGACGAUCAGUAGCCGGACUGAGAGGUUGAACGGCCACAUUGGGACUGAGAUACGGCCCAG
rnacentral:rRNA from 1 species